CAGAACCAGGUCUGAAGGGUGGAAGCUACAGGCACCAAUCUCAGCCCAAAGGAGCCAGUCACAAUACUUGUCUCUGUUCUGGAACAAACUGCCACCAGAGGGAGUGAGUACCCUGUUCCUGGGUGUUCAAGCACAGACCAGAUAACCACUCUUGGGGGAUUCAUUUUGAGAUCUGUUCUGGAGGCCUGCUGGCUUCUUGAAUCCCAGGAAUUCUAACAAGCCGGGAAUGAACAACAGUCCAUCUUGAUCUCCGGGCUCCCCUUCUGUCCUCUCUGGAGAGCUGCAGUUCCUGCCCUUAACUAUUUCCAGAGGCCUGGAAAUGAAUUCCAAGAACCUCCCUGGAUUGUGGGAUCUAACAGAAUGGUGUGGAAUCACAGAGAGGAAGAGGCAGUGGGCUCUAGACCACCAACCCCUCGCCUGGCCAAGUGGGAGAGGGGUCUCAGGGCCCAGACUCAACCUGGAGGCUCAGCCACCAGCAGAAGCAACUUCUGUGCAGCAUCUCCUCUCGGCAGUGUUCUGAAGUCCUGCCCCAGCCGGGUGGCAUCAAGGCUAGGCUCCCGCUAGACCCCUUGGCUAGGCAUGGUGUCUUGAGAAGCCACUAGGUGGAGCCAAGACACUGAGGCUCUCCUCCCAUCCCUUUUCUGAGAUUGGGGGUCAAGCUGGCUUGCUGCAGGGAGUCCAGGGUCUAGAGGGAUCCACUAGGAGAGAAUGUGAGCAGAAGACGUUCGGGUGAGUCAACUCUGAGCUCCUUGGUUGGUUUCUGCGUCAGGGGCUGUGAUGACAGAAGGACAAUUGCAGGAAAGCUUCGAUGAAAGAUUGAGCCUUUAUUUGCAGCUGUGAGGAUGGGUACUGGGGCUGAGACCCAGGCAGCCUGCAGGCAGCAGAGGUUGGUGAUGGCCGAAGUGGGUUCUUCUGGACACCCGUCCCACAGUGCUUGCUCUGGAGGUCCCGUUCUGGCUCCAGAACUUGCGGGGAGGUGCGGGAGUGGAUGCGCUUGGCAGACAGUAGGAGCUCGGAAAAUACUCCUCAAUGGAUGGAAGGCUGAAUGAAAGCUCUGGAGUGGGAGAGUGCGUAGGUCCCACUCACUAGUGUCUGACAUGUAGCUGAUGCUCAGCAAAUGUUUGUCAAGGGACUACAUGCUGCCAGCCUGCCCAAGGCCAGGCUAACAGGCCUGGGUCCUUCUUUGUACGCACCCCAAGUGAAUAUGAAAACAGUCGUGACACCUGU